CCCAAACAUCAACACUGUUAUCAUCAUCACAGCUUACAUCAUUAUAAACACAACUUCCAUCACCAUCAUCAUUUUCACCAUCAUCAUUAUCAUCAUCACUAUCACCAUUAGCAACUUAAGUUUCCCAGUCGACAUCGCCAACACCAUCGCUAUUAUCAACACCAUUACCAAUCAUCGUUAUCAUCGUCGUCGACGUGUUGGUCAUUGUCGUUGUCAUGAUCAUCAGAACCAUCAACAACAAUUCAAGCCAACCAGGGUGCCCCUGUAACAGUUAACCUCGCUAGAAACAACAGACAAUGCUACCUUCAAAUUACAUUCUACGGUUUUAAAAGAAGGAAAGUUGGACAUACAUCGUGUCCGGAAAAAAAAAAUAGCAGGACGGUCAUGGUUGGAAUGUCUUUGAUCACUGGUUUAUACAAGAGUUAAACUACAAUCGCUACUCAACUCAAUAUGGGGGGAAUAAAAUGAAAUAAAAUAAAAUAAAAAUAUCGUUGAAAAUAUUACAAAGAAAACAAUUGAGAUUCUAAAAGAUGUCAAACCUCGAGCGUCUAAGUUUAUCACAAAGCCUUUAAGUGGUCACUGAUCCUGCUAGAAAUAACAGGUAAGGAUGCACACCUCAGAAAAACAGAAUGGACUAAACAGAACAGGAGCAGACACGUGGGAUGGAAGAGUCGCUGAAGCGGUCACAGAUGUGUGACGAAAGAUUUCGAGACAAUGGACAUAAGAUAGAUUAAGAACUUUAAUAAACGAGUGAGGAACGAAUAUACAUAGUGCGUGUGUUUAUUUGACAAAAAAAAAGAAUAAUAAAAUAAAAAUAAAUAAAAAAAAAA